rnacentral:tRNA from 1 species
AGGGCCCGUAGCCUAGCCAGGAUAGGGCGCCGGCCUUCUAUAAGCCGGUGGUCCGGGGUUCAAAUCCCCGCGGGCCC